CCGACAACAUUCAUCUUUGUUAGAUUAUAUCUCUUUCUUUAAUUAAAACAAAUAGUUACUUAACAAAAAUUAUUAUGUAUUGUGUAUAAUAAACCACUAUGUGAAAAAAAAUAUAUUUCAAGAAUGGGCAAUAAACAGUUAUUAUUAGUAAAAUCGCUCCAUGUUUGAAACAAAUACAGGGAAAUUUUUAAAUGGAAAACUGUAUUAAUCUAUGAAUUGCUGUCCAUUAUGGGUUUUUUACGAUCGCUUGUUAUCAUUUACAUGCUCAUAUAUAUAAUGUUAUAUUUAGGUUUAGUUGGAACACUAGUUUAUAUACGUGGAGUUUUGCUCGCUCGCAAUAACUUACCAGAAGACUACACUGCUGAUUUAUAAGAAUGAUAAUAAAACAAUAGUUUUAAAAUACAUAUAUUUAUUAUAAAAGGCACAUACCUGGACGGAAUAGUGAAACUAAGUCUUUUACAAUAUAACAUGGAAUGUCUGACGUAAAUAGGUACAAGAAAAAUUUAACCAUUGUAAGAUAUAUACAAAAUUAAAAACAAAAUGUAUAUUUUACUGUUUAGUAUAAAUAUAGGUGAUAUUAUAACAACAAUAAUAUCAAGCAUCUUAAA